UGGGAAGAAGCUUAAUUUGAGGGAAACUGCCGCAAGGUUAUAACUUAAACAAAAGAAUACUUAAGUUAAUAAUAUCCAUUAUAUAUUAUAAUUAUAUAUUAUUAUAAAAUUUAAAUUAAAUAUUUAAUUAUACUUAAUUUAAGAGUAGUUUGUAUGCUAAUUUUAAAAAUACAAUAGUUUUAUAUUGUAAUUAGUCUUUUAUAAUAAAACACCUUUGUUAAGCUAAUUAGUUUCAGUUAACUCAUUUAAGUAACAUCU
rnacentral:rRNA from 1 species